rnacentral:rRNA from 1 species
UACGGGGGGGGCAAGCGUUGUUCGGAAUUACUGGGCGUAAAGGGCGCGUAGGCGGCCAGACAAAGUCGAGCGUUAAAUUCCAGGGCUUAACCCUGGGCUGUUGCUCGAUACUAGUCGGCUAGAGUGUGGAAGAGGGUGCUGGAAUUCCCGGUGUAGCGGUGAAAUGCGUAGAUAUCAGGAGGAACACCGGUGGCGAAGGCGGCACUCUGGGCCGGAACUGACGCUGAGGAGCGAAAGCGUGGGGAGCGAACAGG